rnacentral:rRNA from 1 species
GACGGACGCUGGCGGCGUGCUUAACACAUGCAAGUCGAACAGAAAGGCCCUGCUUUUGUGGGGUGCUCGAGUGGCGAACGGGUGAGUAACACGUGAGUAACCUGCCCUUGACUUUGGGAUAACUUCAGGAAACUGGGGCUAAUACCGGAUAGGAGCUCCUGCUGCAUGGUGGGGGUUGGAAAGUUUCGGCGGUUGGGGAUGGACUCGCGGCUUAUCAGCUUGUUGGUGGGGUAGUGGCUUACCAAGGCUUUGACGGGUAGCCGGCCUGAGAGGGUGACCGGCCACAUUGGGACUGAGAUACGGCCCAGACUCCUACGGGAGGCAGCAGUGGGGAAUAUUGCACAAUGGGCGGAAGCCUGAUGCAGCAACGCCGCGUGCGGGAUGACGGCCUUCGGGUUGUAAACCGCUUUCGCCUGUGACGAAGCGUGAGUGACGGUAAUGGGUAAAGAAGCACCGGCUAACUACGUG